rnacentral:tRNA from 1 species
GGUAAGGUGGCUGAGUAAGCGGUGGAUUGUAGCCCCAUAUACAGAGGUUUAAGCCCUCUUCUUACCA